rnacentral:rRNA from 1 species
CGGCGUAAAGCGUGGUUAAACCACUAACCUAAUAGGGCCAAAUAGUUUCUAAGCAGUCAAAUACUAUCGAAAUCAUAAAGCACAUCUACGAAAGUAACCCUAAUACUUCUGACCCCACGAAAGCCAUAGCACAAACUGGGAUUAGAUACCCCACUAUGUAUGGCCGUUAAAACUGAUGGUACUUCACUCGAACCAUCCGCCCGGGAACUACGAGCCCCAGCUUAAAACCCAAAGGACCUGGCGGUGCUUUAGACCCCCCUAGAGGAGCCUGUUCUGUAACUGACAACCCCCGUUAAACCUCACCACCCCUUGUUAAAUCCGCCUAUAUACCACCGUCGUAAGCUUACCCUACUGAAGGCCAAAAAGUAAGCCCCAAUAGUAAUACUAAAGACGUCAGGUCGAGGUGUAGCGUAUGGGCUGGGAAGAAAUGGGCUACAUUCCCUAAUAGAGGGAAUACGAAUGAUAGAUUGAAAAAUCUAUACUGAAGGAGGAUUUAGUAGUAAGAAAGGAAUAGAGCGCCCUACUGAAAAUGGCCCUAAAGCGCGUACAGACCGCCCGUCACUCUCCCCGAAACAAUCUCUUUAUUCAUAAUAACCCAAAUAAAACAAGGGGAGGUAAGUCGUAACAUGGUAAGUGUACCGGAA